CCCAGAGCUGUUGUUGGCUAUCUUGACCGAAGCUGCGAGUGGAUUAUUUGGAGUGUCGAUAAGAUGAUCUAUGGAUACUUAGAAUAUAGAAUAGAUUUGGGCGCCCAAGGCUCCCAGCUUGACUCCUUAAACUUAGCAGUAGUUAAGUUAUGCCCUAAAGUAUGUUCGCCUUCGAUACUUUUGCAGCAACAUGUUUGAAAUUGCUUGAGGGUUUGGCGAGGGGUAUUCACUGUGGUUUGCAUUACCUUGAGCAGGGGAAAGAAGGGGAGAAAUAAGAUGAAGGGCCGAAACUGGAAGAGAGUGAGAAUGGAUGAUAAUAUCAAAAUCACAAUGUCAUCGAUGAUUUGCAGA
rnacentral:sRNA from 2 species